UCCGAGUUGACCCCGGCAGUCUCCUAUGAGUCCCCGGCCGAACCGCUGGCAACAUAGAACGAGGGUUGCGCUCGUUGCGGGACUUAACCCAACAUCUCACGACACGAGCUGACGACAACCAUGCACCACCUGUACACCAGCCACAAAGGGGGCUCCCAUCUCUGGAAGUUUCCGGUGUAUGUCAAGCCUUGGUAAGGUUCUUCGCGUUGCAUCGAAUUAAUCCGCAUGCUCCGCCGCUUGUGCGGGCCCCCGUCAAUUCCUUUGAGUUUUAGCCUUGCGGCCGUACUCCCCAGGCGGGGCGCUUAAUGCGUUAGCUGCGGCACGGACCCCGUGGAAUGGGACCCACACCUAGCGCCCAACGUUUACGGCGUGGACUAC
rnacentral:misc_RNA from 1 species